rnacentral:tRNA from 1 species
CUCGGGGUGGUGUAAAGGUAACACAGUCGGGCGACGGCAGAUCUAGGUUCGAAUCCUAGCCCAGGGA